rnacentral:miRNA from 1 species
AACCAGAUGGAAACGAGGAGG